GGUGGCUCAGUGGUAGAGCACUUGCCUUGCAUGCAUGAAGCCCUGAGUUCAAUUCCUCAGUACCA
rnacentral:tRNA from 1 species